AAUCGGAUGGUUUUGAUUAUUUACUCAGCCCCAGCUCGCAGGGUAAUCCACUUUGUUGAGUCGUAUAAGAUAUAUGAUUCCGAAUGUGGACAAAAGUUCAACAAAUCCAGCUGCUAAUUUGCGUCCACCGCUGUUUCGUGAUUUGGCUAACCAGCUGGGUUUCCCUCGUUGAUCCAACGUCUCUUUCCACCCACCACUGCCACGACUCCGUCACCGCCCAGGGCC
rnacentral:lncRNA from 1 species